AGAGUGGAAGGAUUUCACUGAACUCCUUUAUGAGGACAGCAAAUUUAUUUUCUGGUGAUAAAAUUAAUGCCAGUGACACACAACUUUAUCUGAAAAAUGUAGGUAUUGAGUUAACAAAUAAAGAAAGCCAGGAUCUACUGAACAUACUGCCAUUGGAUGAUAACAAUAAGGUGUAUAAAAAAAGGUUGAUGGAUGGAGUGAAGACAUACAGAAG